rnacentral:rRNA from 1 species
GAUGAACGCUGGCGGCGUGCCUAAUACAUGCAGGUCGAGCGAACGGACGAGAAGCUUGCUUCUCUGAUGUUAGCGGCGGACGGGUGAGUAACACGUGGAUAACCUACCUAUAAGACUGGGAUAACUUCGGGAAACCGGAGCUAAUACCGGAUAAUAUUUUGAACCGCAUGGUUCAACAGUGAAAGACGGUCUUGCUGUCACUUAUAGAUGGAUCCGCGCUGCAUUAGCUAGUUGGUAAGGUAACGGCUUACCAAGGCAACGAUGCAUAGCCGACCUGAGAGGGUGAUCGGCCACACUGGAACUGAGACACGGUCCAGACUCCUACGGGAGGCAGCAGUAGGGAAUCUUCCGCAAUGGACGAAAGCCUGACGGAGCAACGCCGCGUGAGUGAUGAAGGUCUUCGGAUCGUAAAACUCUGUUAUUAGGGAAGAACAUAUGUGUAAGUAACUGUGCACAUCUUGACGGUACCUAAUCAGAAAGCCACGGCUAACUACGUG